rnacentral:rRNA from 1 species
UACGAAGGGGGCUAGCGUUGCUCGGAAUUACUGGGCGUAAAGGGAGCGUAGGCGGACAUUUAAGUCAGGGGUGAAAUCCCGGGGCUCAACCUCGGAACUGCCUUUGAUACUGGGUGUCUUGAGUGUGAUAGAGGUAUGUGGAACUCCGAGUGUAGAGGUGAAAUUCGUAGAUAUUCGGAAGAACACCAGUGGCGAAGGCGACAUACUGGCUCAUUACUGACGCUGAGGCUCGAAAGCGUGGGGAGCAAACAGG